GAUGAAGAACGUAGCGAAAUGCGAUAAGUAGUGUGAAUUGCAGAAUUCAGUGAAUCAUCGAAUCUUUGAACGCACAUUGCGCCCCUUGGUAUUCCAUGGGGCAUGCCUGUUCGAGCGUCAUCUACACCCUCAAGCUCUGCUUGGUGUUGGGCGUCUGUCCCGCCUUUGCGCGUGGACUCGCCCCAAAUUCAUUGGCAGCGGUCCUUGCCUCCUCUCGCGCAGCACAUUUGCGCUUCUCGAGGUGCGCGGGCCGCGUCCACGAAGCAACUAUUACCGUCUUUGACCUCGGAUCAGGUAGGGAUACCCGCUGAACUUAAGCAUAUCAAUAAGCGGAGGA
rnacentral:misc_RNA from 1 species